UAGGGAAUCUUCGGCAAUGGACGGAAGUCUGACCGAGCAACGCCGCGUGAGUGAAGAAGGUUUUCGGAUCGUAAAGCUCUUUUGUUAGAUAAGAACGUUGGUAGGAGUGGAAAAUCUACCAAUUGACGGUAACUAACCAGAAAGGGACGGCUAACUACGUGCCAGCAGCCGCGGUAAUACGUAGGUCCCGAGCGUUUUCCGGAUUUAUUUGGCGUACAGCGAGCGCAGUCGGUUCUUUAAGUAUGAAGUUAAAGGCAGUGGCGUAAAGAAUGUACGCUUUGGAAACUGGAGGAAUUGAGUGCAGAAGGGGAGAGUGGAAUUACAUGUGUAGAGGAGAAAUGCGUAGAUAUAUGGAGGAAAACCGGUGGCGAAAGCGGCUCUCUGGUCUGUAACUGACGCUGAGGCUAGAAAGCGUGGGGAGCAAACAGG
rnacentral:rRNA from 1 species